rnacentral:rRNA from 1 species
GACAGAGGGUGCAAACGUUGUUCGGAAUUACUGGGCGUAAAGCGAGUGUAGGCGGUUUGGUAAGUCGGAUGUGAAAGCCCCGGGCUCAACCCGGGAAGUGCACUCGAUACUGCCAAGCUAGAGUAUCGGAGAGGUUGGUGGAAUUCUCGGUGUAGAGGUGAAAUUCGUAGAUAUCGAGAGGAACACCGGUGGCGAAGGCGGCCAACUGGACGAAUACUGACGCUGGAGGUGCGAAAGCGUGGGGAGCAAACAGG